CCUACGGGAGGCAGCAGUGGGGAAUAUUGCACAAUGGGGGGAACCCUGAUGCAGCGACGCCGCGUGAGUGAAGAAGUAUCUCGGUACGUAAAGCUCUAUCAGCAGGGGAGAAAAUGACGGUACCUGACUAAGAAGCCCCGGCUAACUACGUGCCAGAAGCCGCGGGAAUACGUAGGGGGCAAGCGUUAUCCGGAUGUACUGGGUGUAAAGGGGGCGUAGACGGCACUGCAAGUCCGGAGUGAAAGCCCAAGGCUUAACCAUGGGACUGCUCUGGAAACUGUGGAGCUUGAGUGCGGGAGGGGUAGGCGGAAUGCGUAGUGUAGCGGUGAAAUGCGUAGAUAUUAGGAGGAACACCGGGGGCGAAGGCGGCCUGCUGGACCGUAACUGACGUUGAGGCUCGAAAGCGUGGGGAGCAAACAGGAUUAGAUACCCCGGUAGUC
rnacentral:rRNA from 1 species